GAUGAAGACGUAGCGAAAUGCGAUACGUAAUGUGAAUUGCAGAAUUCAGUGAAUCAUCGAGUCUUUGAACGCACAUUGCGCCCCCUGGUAUUCCGGGGGGCAUGCCUGUCCGAGCGUCAUUGCUGCCCUCAAGCACGGCUUGUGUGUUGGGCCCCGCCCCCCGGCUCCCGGGGGGCGGGCCCGAAAGGCAGCGGCGGCACCGCGUCCGGUCCUCGAGCGUAUGGGGCUUCGUCACCCGCUCCGUAGGCCCGGCCGGCGCCCGCCGGCGACCCCCCUCAAUCUUUUCAGGUUGACCUCGGAUCAGGUAGGGAUACCCGCUGAACUUAAGCAUAUCAAUAAGCGGAGGA
rnacentral:misc_RNA from 1 species